ACAACAUAAACCAUAUUGAUCACAAACAUUUGUGCUAUCGUGUGAUAAUCUUGUAAAGAUGAGAGUGUUAUAUAUUAUAUUGAGUGUCUUUUUGAUGUUCUCGAUGGCCAACAGUGUAUGUAUUUGUCCUCCGGGGUACGCUCCAGUUUGUGCUACUAAUUGUAGAACCUAUAACAACCCAUGCCAAAUGAGGUGUGCCGGGGCAAGACUUAAGCAUAGAGGCAGUUGUUGAAGUUGUUUGCUGUGUUAUGAUUUUGCCUUUUGCAUAUUACCUUUUUAUAGUUUAUACGCAAUACUUAUAAUUAGGGUAAUUGGUGCUUAGAUGUCAAUGGUUUAAUAAAGUUAUGAAAAAGAUAUAAAAUUAAAAAGAAAAUGCAUGUUUUCGACAAAUGUGCUUCUGUAAUUAUCUAUGUUUACUAGGAUACAAUCAGAAAUAUUGUAUGACAAAUCGUAUUGAUGUAUAAAUAAUUUAAAUUACUUUUUACAAUCAAAAUAAUUACAGCAAGGUUUAUUUUUUUUUAUUUGUUUAUUCAUACUCAUUGUCAAUUUCCGUAAUCGUUUUAAAUUUAGUUUAUUUAAAGGCCUUACCUGAAUUGUUCUUACUAAGACCAAGUUUAUGAAUUUCUUUUUAAACAUUUAUUAAAUUUAUAACUAUUAAA